GGACUGUGGCUCAGUGGUAGAGCUCUUGCCUAGCAUGUGUGAAGCACUGGGUUCGAGCCUCAACACCA
rnacentral:tRNA from 1 species